rnacentral:rRNA from 1 species
AGAGUUUGAUCAUGGCUCAGGACGAACGCUGGCGGCGUGCCUAAUACAUGCAAGUAGAACGCUGAAGAGAGGAGCUUGCUCUUCUUGGAUGUGUUGCGAACGGGUGAGUAACGCGUAGGUAACCUGCCUUGUAGCGGGGGAUAACUAUUGGAAACGAUAGCUAAUACCGCAUAACAAUGGAUGACCCAUGUCAUUUAUUUGAAAGGGGCAAAUGCUCCACUACAAGAUGGACCUGCGUUGUAUUAGCUAGUAGGUGAGGUAACGGCUCACCUAGGCGACGAUACAUAGCCGACCUGAGAGGGUGAUCGGCCACACUGGGACUGAGACACGGCCCAGACUCCUACGGGAGGCAGCAGUAGGGAAUCUUCGGCAAUGGGGGCAACCCUGACCGAGCAACGCCGCGUGAGUGAAGAAGGUUUUCGGAUCGUAAAGCUCUGUUGUAAGUCAAGAACGAGUGUGAGAGUGGAAAGUUCACACUGUGACGGUAGCUUACCAGAAAGGGACGGCUAACUACGUGCCAGCAGCCGCGGUAAUACGUAGGUCCCGAGCGUUGUCCGGAUUUAUUGGGCGUAAAGCGAGCGCAGGCGGUUUGAUAAGUCUGAAGUUAAAGGCUGUGGCUCAACCAUAGUUCGCUUUGGAAACUGUCAAACUUGAGUGCAGAAGGGGAGAGUGGAAUUCCAUGUGUAGCGGUGAAAUGCGUAGAUAUAUGGAGGAACACCGGUGGCGAAAGCGGCUCUCUGGUCUGUAACUGACGCUGAGGCUCGAAAGCGUGGGGAGCGAACAGGAUUAGAUACCCUGGUAGUCCACGCCGUAAACGAUGAGUGCUAGGUGUUGGAUCCUUUCCGGGAUUCAGAGCCGCAGCUAACGCAUUAAGCACUCCGCCUGGGGAGUACGACCGCAAGGUUGAAACUCAAAGGAAUUGACGGGGCCCGCACAAGCGGUGGAGCAUGUGGUUUAAUUCGAAGCAACGCGAAGAACCUUACCAGGUCUUGACAUCCCGAUGCUAUUUCUAGAGAUAGAAAGUUACUUCGGUACAUCGGUGACAGGUGGUGCAUGGUUGUCGUCAGCUCGUGUCGUGAGAUGUUGGGUUAAGUCCCGCAACGAGCGCAACCCCUAUUGUUAGUUGCCAUCAUUCAGUUGGGCACUCUAGCGAGACUGCCGGUAAUAAACCGGAGGAAGGUGGGGAUGACGUCAAAUCAUCAUGCCCCUUAUGACCUGGGCUACACACGUGCUACAAUGGUUGGUACAACGAGUUGCGAGUCGGUGACGGCAAGCUAAUCUCUUAAAGCCAAUCUCAGUUCGGAUUGUAGGCUGCAACUCGCCUACAUGAAGUCGGAAUCGCUAGUAAUCGCGGAUCAGCACGCCGCGGUGAAUACGUUCCCGGGCCUUGUACACACCGCCCGUCACACCACGAGAGUUUGUAACACCCGAAGUCGGUGAGGUAACCUUUUGGAGCCAGCCGCCUAAGGUGGGAUAGAUGAUUGGGGUGAAGUCGUAACAAGGUA